rnacentral:rRNA from 1 species
CGUGUGUUAGUGGAACGGUCUGGAAAGUCCGGCGGUACAGGGUGAUAGCCCCGUACACUAAAAUGCACACGUUGUGAACUCGAAGAGUAGGGCGGGACACGUGGUAUCCUGUCUGAAUAUGGGGGGACCAUCCUCCAAGGCUAAAUACUCCUGACUGACCGAUAGUGAACCAGUACCGUGAGGGAAAGGCGAAAAGAACCCCGGCGAGGGGAGUGAAAAAGAACCUGAAACCGUGUACGUACAAGCAGUGGGAGCCUACUUGUUAGGUGACUGCGUACCUUUUGUAUAAUGGGUCAGCGACUUAUAUUCUGUAGCAAGGUUAACCGUAUAGGGGAGCCGCAGGGAAACCGAGUCUUAACUGGGCGUUAAGUUGCAGGGUAUAGACCCGAAACCCGGUGAUCUAGCCAUGGGCAGGUUGAAGGUUGGGUAACACUAACUGGAGGACCGAACCGACUAAUGUUGAAAAAUUAGCGGAUGACUUGUGGCUGGGGGUGAAAGGCCAAUCAAACCGGGAGAUAGCUGGUUCUCCCCGAAAGCU